GGGGAAUAUUGCACAAUGGGGGAAACCCUGAUGCAGCGACGCCGCGUGAAGGAAGAAGGUUUUCGGAUCGUAAACUUCUAUCAGCAGGGACGAAGAAAGUGACUGUACCUGACUAAGAAGCCCCGGCUAACUACGUGCCAGCAGCCGCGGUAAUACGUAGGGGGCAAGCGUUAUCCGGAAUCACUGGGUGUAAAGGGUGCGUAGGCGGUAGGGCAAGUCAAAUGUGAAAACCCGGAGCUCAACUUCGGGAUUGCAUUUGAAACUGUCCUACUAGAGUGCAGGAGAGGAAAGCGGAAUUCCAAGUGUAGCGGUGAAAUGCGUAGAUAUUAGGAAGAACACCAGUGGCGAAGGCGGCUUUCUGGACUGUAACUGACGCUGAGGCACGAAAGCGUGGGUAGCGAAC
rnacentral:rRNA from 1 species